UUUCAAUGAUGAUACGAUGACGAGACAGAACAGGACUGUCUGCUUCUGUGGGUUACUGGUUCGGGUCCACGUUCUGUGGUCCCGCUUCAGUUCCUCAGAUCAGCAGUUCUUCUCACGUGAAGACACAGAGGCAUUUGUCUGAGAAAG